AUUGAACGCUGGCGGCAGGCCUAACACAUGCAAGUCGAGCGGCAGCGGAAAGUAGCUUGCUACUUUGCCGGCGAGCGGCGGACGGGUGAGUAAUGUCUGGGAAACUGCCUGAUGGAGGGGGAUAACUACUGGAAACGGUAGCUAAUACCGCAUGACCUCGAAAGAGCAAAGUGGGGGAUCUUCGGACCUCACGCCAUCGGAUGUGCCCAGAUGGGAUUAGCUAGUAGGUGAGGUAAUGGCUCACCUAGGCGACGAUCCCUAGCUGGUCUGAGAGGAUGACCAGCCACACUGGAACUGAGACACGGUCCAGACUCCUACGGGAGGCAGCAGUGGGGAAUAUUGCACAAUGGGCGCAAGCCUGAUGCAGCCAUGCCGCGUGUGUGAAGAAGGCCUUAGGGUUGUAAAACACUUUCAGCGAGGAGGAAGGCAUCAUACUUAAUACGUGUGGUGAUUGACGUUACUCGCAGAAGAAGCACCGGCUAACUCCGUGCCAGCAGCCGCGGUAAUACGGAGGGUGCAAGCGUUAAUCGGAAUUACUGGGCGUAAAGCGCACGCAGGCGGUUUGUUAAGUCAGAUGUGAAAUCCCCGCGCUUAACGUGGGAACUGCAUUUGAAACUGGCAAGCUAGAGUCUUGUAGAGGGGGGUAGAAUUCCAGGUGUAGCGGUGAAAUGCGUAGAGAUCUGGAGGAAUACCGGUGGCGAAGGCGGCCCCCUGGACAAAGACUGACGCUCAGGUGCGAAAGCGUGGGGAGCAAACAGG
rnacentral:rRNA from 1 species